rnacentral:rRNA from 1 species
UACGGGGUGCAGCAGGCGCGAAAACUUUACAAUGCUGGCAACAGCGAUAAGGGAACCUCGAGUGCCAGGUUACAAAUCUGGCUGUCGAGAUGCCUAAAAAGCAUUUCAUAGCAAGGGCCGGGCAAGACCGGUGCCAGCCGCCGCGGUAACACCGGCGGCUCGAGUGGUAACCGUUAUUAUUGGGUCUAAAGGGUCUGUAGCCGGCCGGAUAAGUCUCUUGAGAAAUCUGGCAGCUUAACUGUCAGGCUUUCAGGAGAUACUGUCUGGCUCGAGGCCGGGAGAGGUGAGAGGUACUUCAGGGGUAGGGGUGAAAUCUUGUAAUCCUUGAAGGACCACCAGUGGCGAAGGCGUCUCACCAGAACGGACCUGACGGCAAGGGACGAAAGCUAGGGGCACGAACCGGAUUAGAUACCCGGGUAGUCCUAGCCGUAAACGAUACUCGCUAGGUGUCGGCCACGGUGCGACCGUUGUCGGUGCCGUAGGGAAGCCGUGAAGCGAG